rnacentral:hammerhead_ribozyme from 1 species
ACAUUCCUGAGGAGUCCCAUAAUAGGACGAAACGGCCGUCCAGUGC